rnacentral:rRNA from 1 species
UACGUAGGCAGCGAGCGUUUGUUCGGAAUUACUGGGCGUAAAGAGUGUGUAGGCGGUGCUCUAAGUUCGGUGUGAAAUCUCCCGCUUAACUGGGAGGGUGCGCCGGAAACUGGAGUGCUCGAGCGUGGGAGAGGAAAGCGGAAUUCCUGGUGUAGCGGUGAAAUGCGUAGAUAUCAGGAGGAACACCUGCGGUGUAGACGCUUUCUGGACCUUGCUGACGCUGAGACACGAAAGCGUGGGUAGCAAACAGG